AGCAUAUCAAUAAGCGGAGGAAAAGAAACCAACAGGGAUUGCCUCAGUAACGGCGAGUGAAGCGGCAACAGCUCAAAUUUGAAAUCUGGCCUUCGGGUCCGAGUUGUAAUUUGCAGAGGAUGCUUUUGACGAGGUGGCGACCGAGUUCCCUGGAACGGGACGCCGUAGAGGGUGAGAGCCCCGUAUGGUCGCACUGCCGAGUCUUUGUAAAGCUCCUUCAACGAGUCGAGUAGUUUGGGAAUGCUGCUCUAAAUGGGAGGUGUAUGUCUUCUAAAGCUAAAUACCGGCCAGUGACCGAUAGCGCACAAGUAGAGUGAUCGAAAGGUGAAAAGAACUUUGAAAAGAGAGUUAAAAAGUACGUGAAAUUGUCAAAAGGGAAGCAUUUAUGACCAGACUUGGGCGUGGUUGAUCAUCCGGCGUUCUCGCCGGUGCACUCUGCCCGCCUAGGCCAGCAUCAGUUCGCCUCGGGGGAAAAAGGCUUCGGGAAUGUGGCUCCUUCGGGAGUGUUAUAGCCCGUUGCGUAAUGCCCUGGGGUGGACUGAGGUCCGCGCUCGCGCUUGGAUGUUGGCAUAAUGGUCAUCAAUGACCCGUCUUGAAACACGGACC
rnacentral:rRNA from 2 species